rnacentral:rRNA from 1 species
GAUGAACGCUGGCGGCGUGCCUAAUACAUGCAAGUCGAGCGAACAGACGAGGAGCUUGCUCCUCUGACGUUAGCGGCGGACGGGUGAGUAACACGUGGAUAACCUACCUAUAAGACUGGGAUAACCUCGGGAAACCGGAGCUAAUACCGGAUAAUAUAUUGAACCGCAUGGUUCAAUAGUGAAAGACGGUUUUGCUGUCACUUAUAGAUGGAUCCGCGCCGCAUUAGCUAGUUGGUACGGUAACGGCUUACCAAGGCAACGAUGCGUAUCCGACCUGAGAGGGGGAUCGGCCACACUGGAGCUGAGCCACGGUCCAGACUCCUACGGGAGGCAGCAGUAGGCAAUCUUCCGCAAUGGGCGAAAGCCUGGCGGAGCAGCGCCGCGUGAGUGAUGAAGGUCUUCGGAUCGUAAAACUCUGUUAUUAGGGAAGAACAAAUGUGUAAGUAGCUAUGCACGUCUUGACGGUACCUAAUCAGAAAGCCACGGCUAACUACGUG